rnacentral:rRNA from 1 species
AAGCGUGCGCAGGCGGUUUUGUAAGUCAGAUGUGAAAUCCCCGAGCUCAACUUGGGAACUGCGUUUGAAACUACAAGACUAGAAUAUGUCAGAGGGGGGUAGAAUUCCACGUGUAGCAGUGAAAUGCGUAGAGAUGUGGAGGAAUACCAAUGGCGAAGGCAGCCCCCUGGGAUAAUAUUGACGCUCAUGCACGAAAGCGUGGGGAGCAAACAGGAUUAGAUACCCUGGUAGUCCACGCCCUAAACGAUGUCUACUAGUUGUUGGUGGAGUAAAAUCCAUGAGUAACGCAGCUAACGCGUGAAGUAGACCGCCUGGGGAGUACGGUCGCAAGAUUAAAACUCAAAUGAAUUGACGGGGGCCCGCACAAGCGGUGGAUUAUGUGGAUUAAUUCGAUGCAACGCGAAAAACCUUACCUGGCCUUGACAUGUAACGAACUUUCCAGAGAUGGAUUGGUGCUCGAAAGAGAGCGUUAACACAGGUGCUGCAUGGCUGUCGUCAGCUCGUGUCGUGAGAUGUUGGGUUAAGUCCCGCAACGAGCGCAACCCUUGCCAUUAAUUGCCAUCAUUUAGUUGGGCACUUUAAUGGGACUGCCGGUGACAAACCGGAGGAAGGUGGGGAUGACGUCAAGUCCUCAUGGCCCUUAUGGCCAGGGCUUCACACGUAAUACAAUGGUCGGUACAGAGGGUUGCCAAGCCGCGAGGUGGAGCCAAUCCCAGAAAGCCGAUCGUAGUCCGGAUUGUAGUCUGCAACUCGACUACAUGAAGUCGGAAUCGCUAGUAAUCGCGGAUCAGCAUGUCGCGGUGAAUACGUUCCCGGGGCCUUGUACACACCGCCCGUCACACCAUGGGAGUGGGUUUUACCAGAAGUAGGGUAGUCUAACCUUUCGGGAGGACGCUUACCACGGUAGUAUUCAUGACUGGGGUGAAGUCGUAACAAGGUAA